CCCUUAGAUGCUCUGGGCCGCACGCGCGCUACACUGGUCGAUGCAACGAGUUUCUUUCCUUGGCCGACAGGCCUGGGCAAUCUUUGAACAUCGAUCGUGAUCGGGAUAGAUUCUUGUAAUUUUCGAUCUUAAACGAGGAAUUCCUAGUAAACGCAAGUCAUCAGCUUGCAUUGAUUACGUCCCUGCCCUUUGUACACACCGCCCGUCGCACCUACCGAUUGAAUGGUCCGGUGAAAUCUCCGGACUGGCGUGAGUCGGAGCAAUCUGACAAACGCCGGAAAGUUGAUUAAACCUUACCAUUUAGAGGAAGGUGAAGUCGUAACA
rnacentral:rRNA from 1 species